UGGCUGUGAUUACAAAUUAUCCGCGCUUCUGAGAUCUUCGAUGAAGCACAAUGGAUUGAUAUAUGGUUGAAUUUCUUUAUAUGAGCCA